GACGAACGCUGGCGGCGUGCUUAACACAUGCAAGUCGAACGGAAAGGCCCUGCUUUUGUGGGGUGCUCGUGUGGCGAACGGGUGAGUAACACGUGAGUAACCUGCCCUUGACUUUGGGAUAACUUCCGGAAACUGGGGCUAAUACCCGAUAGGAGCUCCUGCUGCAUGGGGGGGGUUGGAAAGUUUCGGCGGUUGGGGAUGGACUCGCGGCGUAUCAGCUUGUUGGUGGGGUAGUGGCUUACCAAGGCUUUGACGGGUAGCCGGCCUGAGAGGGUGACCGGCCACAUUGGGACUGAGAUACGGCCCAGACUCCUACGGGAGGCAGCAGUGGGGAAUAUUGCACAAUGGGCGGAAGCCUGAUGCAGCGACGCCGCGUGCGGGAUGACGGCCUUCGGGUUGUAAACCGCUUUCGCCUGUGACGAAGCGUGAGUGACGGUAAUGGGUAAAGAAGCACCGGCUAACUACGUG
rnacentral:rRNA from 1 species